rnacentral:rRNA from 1 species
UACGGGGGGGGCAAGCGUUGUUCGGAAUUACUGGGCGUAAAGGGCUCGUAGGCGGCCAACUAAGUCAGACGUGAAAUCCCUCGGCUUAACCGGGGAACUGCGUCUGAUACUGGAUGGCUUGAGUGUGGGAGAGGGAUGCGGAAUUCCAGGUGUAGCGGUGAAAUGCGUAGAUAUCUGGAGGAACACCGGUGGCGAAGGCGGCAUCCUGGGCCACGACUGACGCUGAGUGAGCGAAAGCCAGGGGAGCAAACGGG